GGAAAGAGUUCAUCGGUUGUCAGCCCGGUUCAUGCCGCAAAAUUUCUAAAACCUGUUUUAGAAUUUGUCUGAGUGGGAGUCUUGGCGGGGAAGGCGGAUGUAGGGCUCACUCAUGGUGGAGUAGACGACGCAGAAGUUAGCUGGCCCUGAACCGAUGGGACAUACAUAGAGAAGGCUUUCCGGAAACUUGAAGAGAGCCGUGUCUUGUGCUUGCCCCUACUAUGUCCUUGACCCAAAUACAUACCUUAAGGUCAGCACCCAGGAUGACAGCUGUGGACAGCAUCUUGGUGUUCCUGGAAAAUGUCCGAGAUUUGUACUUGUUUGCACCUCAGUUCUUCCCUGCUAACUCUGUGCUUUUGUUUACUGGGAUCCUAAUUGCUUGGGGCCCAGUGUCCUCUACUUGCCCCUUGGUCUUACAGGCUUCACGUCUCAGUGUUCGCUUUAGAACCUUGGUUCAUGUUCUCUUGUCCGGAUUGAACCUCUUUCACUUGCCUAGUCAAACAGCCCUGGCCAAGCCUCUCCCAUGUGCAUCCAAAGUGCCCCCAAACCUCUAGGCUUGGGCACCCCUCCCUAAGGAAAGCCUGGUCAUGAGGUGAUAAAGUAACACACAGCUGGAGCAGCUGGCAAGCGUCUUACGUUUUUCAGAUGAGAAAGAUGUCAGAGAUGGAGGAAAGAUGGAGAAAACUGAUGUGGGAGGUCACUGGGGGCAACGGAGAAGACAAGGAGUCAGCAACAGCCAAGCCACCCCUGCCACUACCAAAGGGUUUCUCUGUAUUGCUUUGGAGGUUGUCCUGGAACUCGCUCUAAUUCACAGAGAUCUGCCUGCCUCUGCAGUGCUGGGAUUAAAGGCAUGUGCCACCAACGCCCGGCCUGUGCAACUUUUUAGGAUUUUUUUCUUUUUAAGACAAUGUCUUAUUCUAGCCCAGAUUGCCCUGAAAUUCACUGUGUAGCCUAAGCUGGCCUCAAAAUUGAAGCAAUUCUCCUGCCUCCAUCUCCUAAUCCUGGGAUUAUAGGUGGGAGCCACCACACCCACCUCAGUAACUAUUUAGUUUAAAAGGACACAAUAACUAUAAUUUAAUUUAUUAUUUUUUUCCUCAUUUUUCUAGUGUUCAUAGCAUUCUACUGUGAUUGGGCAUUUAGACUUUCUCAAGUUUGUAC
rnacentral:lncRNA from 1 species